rnacentral:antisense_RNA from 1 species
GUAAGGAACCUGCUGCGCCUGAGAUCCCAUUACCAAGGAAAGGGUCACUGAAAGGCGAUAACAAGAGAAAGGGCUCAUGUCUGACUGCCAGUGUUAGCAUAAAGGAGAGCCAUUUUGCCAAGAACAAUACAGCCUGUGGAACUCACCAGAGAAGUGCCCCAGUAACAACCCAACCUGCAUUAUUUGCAAACCAUGACCUGGAUGUUCCGAAGGUAGCAGCCACACAAAAUUCUCCGCCCAUCGAUUUGCUGGGUGAAAUUUGUGGAGGAGGUUUAACUUUGCUUAAAAAAUAAAAUAACAGUAAAAAACAA